GGAGUUUAAAAAACAAGUGGCACUAGGAUCUGUCACCCCAUUGAUUGCCAGGGUUGAUUGGGCUGAUCUGGCUGGCUAGGCAGGUGUCCCCAUCCUCUCUCACUGCUCCAUGUGCGUCCCUCCCAAAGCUGUGCACUCAGUGGAAGAGGACAACCUUAUAGAGGACCGUUCUUUGCUCAAGGGCAUAGAGUAGCUGCACUCUCCUGCUAGAACCUCCAAACAAGCUCUCAAGUCCAUUUGUAAAGGAACAUAGGAUAGUCACGUUUUUCCAAGACUCCAGACAUGUCCAAAUGAGGCACUGCAUAUGGCAGUCUACCUUUCUUU
rnacentral:snRNA from 1 species